rnacentral:rRNA from 1 species
UACGAAGGGGGCUAGCGUUGUUCGGAUUUACUGGGCGUAAAGCGCACGUAGGCGGUUUGUUAAGUCAGGGGUGAAAUCCCAGAGCUCAACUCUGGAACUGCCUUUGAUACUGGCAAGCUAGAGUCCGGAAGAGGUAAGUGGAGCUCCUAGUGUAGAGGUGGAAUUCGUAGAUAUUAGGAAGAACACCAGUGGCGAAGGCGGCUUACUGGUCCGGAACUGACGCUGAGGUGCGAAAGCGUGGGGAGCAAACAGG